rnacentral:rRNA from 1 species
CAGCAGCCGCGGGAAUACGUAGGGUCCGAGCGUUGUCCGGAAUUAUUGGGCGUAAAGAGCUCGUAGGCGGUCUGUCGCGUCUGCCGUGAAAUCCUCAGGCUCAACCUGAGGCGUGCGGUGGGUACGGGCAGGCUAGAGUGCGGUAGGGGAGAAUGGAACUCCUGGUGUAGCGGUGGAAUGCGCAGAUAUCAGGAAGAACACCGAUGGCGAAGGCAGUUCUCUGGGCCGUAACUGACGCUGAGGAGCGAAAGCGUGGGGAGCGAACAGGAUUAGAUACCCGGUAGUCCCUGUCUCUUAUACC